UUCCCUGGACACGACGCUGCCCCGUCCAUAGAAUGAAAUCAGGACGUGGGCUUCUAGGCACAUAUUAAAUUCCCAGCCUGCACGAAAGGACGAUGCGCUACGUCAUCGGCGCGGCUCCGGCUCCUCCUCGCCUCAUAACUGCGAACCUGCGUCCGUCCAGUGCUAGAGGUGAACAGGACAGGAUGGGAUGCUCCACCAGCUCUCAAACUUCAGCGGUGGAUACGACUCGACCCAGUUCUAAGCCCGAGGAAAGCAACGGAGCCAGCACCACCGGCGCCACAGAGGCCGCUAACAAGAAUGGCAAGGUUGCCGAGGACAGCGAAACCAUCCCAGACCAGACGCCUGCCGCGGAUGGAGACGGGGCGGUCGUAGCCGCGGCGUCCGCGAGCCCCGUGUCUGCAGCGCCGCCGGCAGCGGAGGAGCCUGAACCCGCACCCGAAGCUCCGGCGGCCGCGGAGCCCUCUCCCGAGGCGGCAGCUGCAGCUCCAGAGCAAGAAUCCGAGGCCACAGCUACUGAACCCACACCCACCACAGACGAGGCACCAGGUGAGCGGAGCUGUGAUUUUCAAAUGAAGUCACCCACGUGA
ensembl:lncRNA brain acid soluble protein 1-like